AUUGAACGCUGGCGGCAUGCCUUACACAUGCAAGUCGAACGGUAACAGGUCUUCGGAUGCUGACGAGUGGCGAACGGGUGAGUAAUACAUCGGAACGUGCCUAGUAGUGGGGGAUAACUACUCGAAAGAGUGGUUAAUACCGCAUGAGAUCUACGGAUGAAAGCAGGGGAUCGCAAGACCUUGUGCUACUAGAGCGGCCGAUGGCAAAUUAGGUAGUUGGUGGGAUAAAAGCUUACCAAGCCGACGAUCUGUAGCUGGUCUGAGAGGACGAUCAGCCACACUGGGACUGAGACACGGCCCAGACUCCUACGGGAGGCAGCAGUGGGGAAUUUUGGACAAUGGGCGCAAGCCUGAUCCAGCAAUGCCGCGUGCAGGAUGAAGGCCUUCGGGUUGUAAACUGCUUUUGUACGGAACGAAAAGCCCCGGGUUAAUACCCUGGGGUCAUGACGGUACCGUAAGAAUAAGCACCGGCUAACUACGUGCCAGCAGCCGCCGUAA
rnacentral:rRNA from 1 species